AUUGAACGCUGGCGGCAUGCUUUACACAUGCAAGUCGAACGGUAACAGGCCGCAAGGUGCUGACGAGUGGCGAACGGGUGAGUAAUGCAUCGGAACGUGCCCAGCCGUGGGGGAUAACGCAGCGAAAGCUGCGCUAAUACCGCAUACGAUCUCUGGAUGAAAGCGGGGGACCGAAAGGCCUCGCGCGAUUGGAGCGGCCGAUGUCAGAUUAGGUAGUUGGUGGGGUAAAGGCCCACCAAGCCAACGAUCUGUAGCUGGUCUGAGAGGACGACCAGCCACACUGGGACUGAGACACGGCCCAGACUCCUACGGGAGGCAGCAGUGGGGAAUUUUGGACAAUGGGCGCAAGCCUGAUCCAGCAAUGCCGCGUGCAGGAAGAAGGCCUUCGGGUUGUAAACUGCUUUUGUACGGAACGAAACGGUCCGGGUUAAUACCCUGGGCUAACGACGGUACCGUAAGAAUAAGCACCGGCUAACUACGUGCCAGCCGCCGCCGUAA
rnacentral:rRNA from 1 species